rnacentral:rRNA from 1 species
UUUUAUUUGAGAGUUUGAUCCUGGCUCAGGAUGAACGCUGGCGGCGUGCCUAACACAUGCAAGUUGAGCGAUUUACUUCGGUAAAGAGCGGCGGACGGGUGAGUAACGCGUGGGUAACCUACCCUGUACACACGGAUAACAUACCGAAAGGUAUGCUAAUACGGGAUAAUAUAUUUGAGAGGCAUCUCUUGAAUAUCAAAGGUGAGCCAGUACAGGAUGGACCCGCGUCUGAUUAGCUAGUUGGUAAGGUAACGGCUUACCAAGGCGACGAUCAGUAGCCGACCUGAGAGGGUGAUCGGCCACAUUGGAACUGAGACACGGUCCAAACUCCUACGGGAGGCAGCAGUGGGGAAUAUUGCACAAUGGGCGAAA